GACGAACGCUGGCGGCGUGCUUAACACAUGCAAGUCGAACGGAAAGGCCCUGCUUGCAGGGUGCUCGAGUGGCGAACGGGUGAGUAACACGUGGGUGAUCUGCCCCUUACUUUGGGAUAAGCCUGGGAAACUGGGUCUAAUACUGGAUAGGACCAUGCUGUAGGUGGUGUGGUGGAAAGAUUAGUUUCGGUAAGGGAUGAGCUCGCGGCCUAUCAGCUUGUUGGUGGGGUAAUGGCCUACCAAGGCGUCGACGGGUAGCCGGCCUGAGAGGGUGGACGGCCACAUUGGGACUGAGAGACGGCCCAGACGCCUACGGGAGGCAGCAGUGGGGAAUAGUGCAAAAUGGGCGCAAGCCGGAUGCAGCGAAGCCGCGGGGGGGAUGACGGCCUUCGGGUUGUAAACUCCUUUCAGCCAUGACGAAGCCCUUGUGGUGACGGUAGUGGUAGAAGAAGCCCCGGCUAACUACGUG
rnacentral:rRNA from 1 species